AGAGCAUCUUCGGAUGGAGGAG
rnacentral:miRNA from 12 species